AUCCAGCUGACGAGUCCCAAAUAGGAAAAAACGCGCGUCCUGGAU
rnacentral:hammerhead_ribozyme from 1 species